rnacentral:tRNA from 1 species
GGGGGUAUGGCGUAACCUGGCAGCGCGGCAGACUACGCAGAGUAAGCCGAAGCUCCAGACCAGCCAGGGAAACCUGCAAGUUGGGGUUCGAAUCCCCAUGCCCCCA